rnacentral:misc_RNA from 1 species
GAAUUAAGGGCAUAAUUCAGGUACCCUUGAGUUGAAUUUAAUCACGCUCUGCUUUUGCUAUUUAAUUACAAGGAUUCGGCUGAUUGAAAGUUGUUAAAUUUGAUAAAUAAUAACCAUAUUGCUCUAAUGGUUUAGGAGUCCAUAAUUUUGUAUCUUUAUCUUGCCACUGAAGCCAUGCAAGAUUUUUUUUUUGGUAAGGCUAUGUGAGUAACACAUUUGUGUCCUCAAGUAUUAAUAUGGUGAUAAUUUCAUUAUGUUGACAAUUGUUUGAGGAUGAAUCACUUGGAUAAUGCUUAUGAUUCAUAAUUUUGUUUAUCUAGAUCCUUUUGCUAUAUUUUAAUGUUUACUUCCUGGAAUUCUACGCUCUGCUCAGCAAAGUAGUAUAUCUUCCAUGCUUGAGAUGAACACAUUACGAAGGCCCCUUUAAGCAUAAUGAUAAUGAUUCAGGAUAACUUCUCCCCAUUUUACAUAUUUGGAUAUUUGUAAUUUUAUUCUUUGAUUUUGAUACGAGAAUGAGUUAAAACUUAAAAUGUAUGUGUUCCUUUUGCUGUUGGCAGGCAAUUAUUUUUCUCUCUGAUGUCUUAUGGUCAUUAAUGUUGAGGAAAACAACAUAAGUGUGAUUCUUAACCUUU